GAUGAAGAACGUAGCGAAAUGCGAUACGUAAUGUGAAUUGCAGAAUUCAGUGAAUCAUCGAAUCUUUGAACGCACAUUGCGCCCCCUGGUAUUCCGGGGGGCAUGCCUGUCCGAGCGUCAUUACAACCCUCAAGCUCAGCUUGGUAUUGGGCCCCGCCGACCCGGCGGGCCCUAAAGUCAGUGGCGGUGCCGUCCGGCUCCGAGCGUAGUAAUUCUUCUCGCUCUGGAGGUCCGGUCGUGUGCUCGCCAGCAACCCCCAAUUUUUUUCAGGUUGACCUCGGAUCAGGUAGGGAUACCCGCUGAACUUAAGCAUAUCAAUAAGCGGAGGA
rnacentral:misc_RNA from 1 species